rnacentral:rRNA from 1 species
AGACAGCAGCCGCCGCGGGAAAACGUAGGGUGCGGGCGUCAACCGGAAUUACUGGGCGUAAAGCGUGCGCAGGCGGUUGUGUAAGACAGGUGUGAAAUCCCCGGGCUUAACCUGGGAACUGCGCUUGUGACUGCACAGCUAGAGUAUGGCAGAGGGGGGUGGAAUUCCACGUGUAGCAGUGAAAUGCGUAGAGAUGUGGAGGAACACCGAUGGCGAAGGCAGCCCCCUGGGCCAAUACUGACGCUCAUGCACGAAAGCGUGGGGAGCAAACAGGAUUAGAUACCCGCGUAGUCCCUGUCUCUUAUAC